rnacentral:misc_RNA from 1 species
AAAGAUUGCGGUCUUCGGGUGGGAAAACAGAGAGAUGAAGAGAGAGAGAUGGCAGUAUAUAAAUAGGAGAAAAAUGGGGCGUUUUAUAGGUGGGGAGAUGGGAUUAUAUAAGGAGAAAGAUGGAGAAGAAGAGAAAGAGGGAUAGGAAAUCGGGGGAAAUUGGGGAAUGGGAUUGAAGAAAGAUGAUCGGAAAGAAAGAAAGUGGGAAGUGACUGGUCGCCCACCGGGGACGGCCUGCAAAGAAAGACCGCGACCUCUCUCCCACCGG